AGAGUUUGAUCCUGGCUCAGAAUCAACGCBGGCGGCGUGCYUCAGACAUGCAAGUCGAACGAUUAAAGCUCCCYUUCGGGGAGUGCAUAGAGUGGCGCACGGGUGAGUAACACGUAAGUAAUCUACCCUCGGGUGGGGAAUACCGUUCGGAAACGAACGCUAAUACCGCAUAAUGCAGCGGCACCGCAAGGUGACAGUUGUUAAAGAUUUAUUGCCUGGGGAGGAGCUUGCGGCAGAUUAGCUAGUUGGUAAGGUAACGGCUUACCAAGGCUACGAUCUGUAUCCGGUCUAAGAGGACGGUCGGACACACUGACACUGAAUAACGGGUCAGACUCCUACGGGAGGCAGCAGUCGGGAAUUUUGGGCAAUGGGCGAAAGCCUGACCCAGCAACGCCGCGUGAAGGAUGAAGUAUUUCGGUAUGUAAACUUCGAAAGAAUAGGAAGAAUCAAUGACGGUACUAUUUAUAAGGUCCGGCUAACUACGUGCCAGCAGCCGCGGUAAUACGUAGGGACCCAGCGUUGUUCGGAUUUACUGGGCGUAAAGGGCGCGUAGGCGGCAUGACAAGUCACUUGUGAAAUUUCCGGGCUUAACUCGGAGCGGCCAAGUGAUACUGUCGCGCUAGAGCGCAGAAGGGGCAAUCGGAAUUCUUGGUGUAGCGGUGAAAUGCGUAGAUAUCAAGAGGAACACCUGAGGUGAAGACGGGUUGCUGGGCUGACACUGACGCUGAGGCGCGAAAGCCAGGGGAGCAAACGGGAUUAGAUACCCCGGUAGUCCUGGCCCUAAACGAUGAAUACUUGGUGUCUGGAGUUCCAAUACUCCGGGUGCCGUCGCUAACGUUUUUAGUAUUCCGCCUGGGGAGUACGCUCGCAAGAGUGAAACUCAAAUGAAUUGACGGGG
rnacentral:rRNA from 1 species